GUGGACUUCCAAGGACUUAUAUGUACAGAAAUGUGGUUGGCACACAAGUGAUCAGUGUCUGCGUGACAGUGAUGGCGACAUUGUAGACUAUACACAAGAGGACCACAUGCCCCACCUCCCAAGCUGGAGGUACCUGGCAUAGUGAGUCUAUUGUUUUCGUUUAAGAUUUGCGUUUUGGACUUUUUCAAAGAUAUGAAGCAGCAUCAAUCUGAAAUUGGAAUUGCAAAUAGACCAGAAGGAGUUAGUCCCUGUAAUGUAAAUGGACAAGCUGAAUAAUAACAAAUUCUAGCAAUUUUUUUUUCAUACUUGGAAUAUCUCAGG
rnacentral:lncRNA from 1 species